GAUGAAGAACGUAGCGAAAUGCGAUAAGUAAUGUGAAUUGCAGAAUUCAGUGAAUCAUCGAAUCUUUGAACGCACAUUGCGCCCCUUGGUAUUCCGAGGGGCAUGCCUGUUCGAGCGUCAUUAUAACCCCUCAAGCUCAGCUUGGUGUUGGGGCCUGCUGCACUGGCAGCCCUUAAAAUCAGUGGCGGCGCCAUCUGGCUCUAAGCGUAGUAAUUCUUCUCGCUAUGGAGUCCUGGUGGAUGCUUGCCAUCAACGCCCAAUUUUUCUAUGGUUGACCUCGGAUCAGGUAGGGAUACCCGCUGAACUUAAGCAUAUCAAUAAGCGGAGGA
rnacentral:misc_RNA from 1 species